rnacentral:lncRNA from 1 species
AUGGCUUUGUUACCAUUUUUAUGCUCCUCUGAGUCCCCACUGUUGCUCAUUUCUCUGGGACCUAUUUCACUGAACAAAGAGAAACCUCCAGGAAAGAGGAAGCAGGAAAAUAGAAAGAGGUUAAGUCACACACAUCAAUUGGGGCCAUCAAAGAAAGGCGACUGCAGGAAAGGAACAAGGAUCAAUGAAGAGGGAAGGAAAAUAGAACCUGCUCAUGGAGAGUCUAAAAUUCAAAAACUUCUUAAGCUUGGGAAGAUGCCACAGCAACAUAAAACAAUUCCAUCACAGCAACUUGAAAGUCAUGAAAAAAUGCAGAACACUGGUAGAGACAACCAUGGAUUAUUGCAGCCAGCACUUCCCAAUGUGGCUUUACCUUGCACAGAUGAAACUCAUGAGCAGCUCAAGCAGAGAGGAGAUAACUACAACCCAGGAGAAAUUCCUGAAUGA